rnacentral:lncRNA from 1 species
UACCAAUUAAGAAUGGGACUCAUUCAGGCAUUCCAUCAAACACAUCACAGGCAUGAAAAGAUAAGCACAAAGACACCAAAUUUACGUGGUUCGGCAGCAAGUGCCUCCAUCCACGGGGAGGAGGAGCAAUCCAUUAUAUCAAUCUUCCCAAUAGGGUACAAACAUAGAUACAUAAGAGCCCAAAAUAUGGACUGCCAAAUGAUCACAAUAUGAGGCAAUAUAAAACCAAAUAUAAAGCAAGAAACAACCUGAUCGGAUCACCCUUCUGCAGCCACAAUGAUAGAUCAAAAGUGUAGUAUGCAAAUCAACCUUUCUACGGCUCCAAUGGUAGAUCAAAUGAGUAUCAAAACCAUACCUUCCCUUGUUGCAAUUUCUGUGAACAGCAAAGAAGAAAGGGGCUCACGGGAANN